ACUAUGAGCUUCAUGUGGGAGAGGAAUUUGUGUUUACCUCCAUGCUUAGUACAGUGCUUGGCAUAUAAAAAAAACCACCUGAAUCUAGUCCAGCGCAUAGAACAAUACUUGAAACAUAGUAAGUGCUUAACAAAUGCCACAAUGAUUACUAUAUCUUCAAAGAUUUGUUACACUGCCACUUCUAAAUGCUAAUGUAUCACUUAGAAACUCUUUGAAAUUACUUUUAGAGGGAUGUGAGACUAGUAAAUGAAAGAAUGUAAUCCCAAAAGUUUUUGUUUUUUUUUUUAAAUAACAUGUACAUUUCACUUAUUUCAUUGUUCCAGAGACUCAGGCUACUUCUCAAUGGAGCUGGAGCUGCUACAGGGUAGGGACCAGCAGGUCGACUCAUCAUUUUAUGUGCAGAGGCCAAAUAGGGCCAGACACUUGAGUGGGGAUGAAGAUUGGGAGAGAACAAGCUUCAGAAAGCUACUUUCUGGAGUCGUCAGGCAGAGGCCUGGGAUAAGCAAGCCUGAGAGCACAGGACUCCCAGUCUCUGAAAAAUGCCUGUCCUCUCUGGUGCUGGUCAGUAUUCUGACACAGAGCAAAUGAAAGCUCCAGAGAUGAAAGACGUAAAAUGGAACAGAGACCAGUUUAGAGCUGAGGUGGAACAGCCCUGCCUGAAGAGUGGAGUUGGAUGGAAGGCAGGUGCCUGAAUGGAAAUUCUGAAGCAGUCUGCACUGGUACUUCCCCUUGCUAGCUCACCAUCUAUUAUGAUUCAUAUGUAAAUUUGGCUUGUCCCUCAUUAUCCAUUAAAUCACUUUAAG